rnacentral:Y_RNA from 1 species
GGCUGGUCCGAGUGCAGUGGGGCCACAGCUGACGAUCACAGCCAGUUACAGGUUCUUCCUCUGUUCUUCUCCCACCGCCACGGCUUCACUUGACCGGCCUCUA